rnacentral:rRNA from 1 species
GACGAACGCUGGCGGCAUGCCUAAUACAUGCAAGUCGAGCGAACAGAUGAAGUGCUUGCACUUCUGACGUUAGCGGCGAACGGGUGAGUAACACGUAAGGAAUCUACCUAUAAGCGGGGGAUAACAUUCGGAAACGGGUGCUAAUACCGCAUAAUAUCUUCUUCCGCAUGGAAGAAGAUUGAAAGACGGCUCUGCUGUCACUUAUAGAUGACCUUGCGGUGCAUUAGUUAGUUGGUGGGGUAAUGGCCUACCAAGACGAUGAUGCAUAGCCGAACUGAGAGGGUGAUCGGCCACAUUGGGACUGAGACGCGGCUCAAACUCCUACGGGAGGCAGCAGUAGGGAAUCUUCCGCAAUGGGCGAAAGCCUGACGGAGCAAUGCCGCGUGAGUGAAGAAGGCCUUCGGGUCGUAAAACUCUGUUAUAAGAGAAGAACAAAUUGUAGAGUAACUGCUACAGUCUUGACGGUAUCUUAUCAGAAAGCCACGGCUAACUACGUGCCAGCAGCCGCCGUAA